GCGGCGGUGGCCGAGUGGUCUAAGGCGCAGGGUUGCUAACUCUGUGGCGCAAGCCUCCGGGGUUCGAAUCCCCGCCGCCGCG
rnacentral:tRNA from 2 species